ACGAACGCUGGCGGCGGCUUAACACAUGCAAGUCGAACGGAGUGGCGAACGGGUGAGUAACGCGUGAGCAACCUGCCUAUGACAGUGGGAUAGCCUCGGGAAACCGGGAUUAAUACCGCAUAGUCAUAGCUGGGCUCGCGUCUGAUUAGCUAGUUGGUGAGAUAACAGCCCACCAAGGCGACGAUCAGUAGACGGUCUUGUAGGAGGAACGGCCACAUUGGAACUGAUACACGGUCCAAACUCCUACGGGAGGCAGCAGUGGGGAAUAUUGCCCAAUGGGGGAAACCCUGAUGCAGCGACGCCGCGGGAACGAAGAAGGUAUUCGUAUCGUAAAGUUCUGUCCUAUGGGAAGCAGUACCAUAGAAGAAAGCUCCGGCUAAAUACGUGCCAGCAGCCGCGGUAAUUC
rnacentral:rRNA from 1 species